CGCUCCGGCGCAGGAACCUUCCUUUAUCCAUCAUGGCGUCACUUCAUGAAGACAUCUACGGAUGACUUUGUCUAUGACCCCAAUUGCAUGCGCUCUAUGGACACCAUCCCCAUGUUUAACAUCAUCAAUGAGGUAGUCCCACCCUCGACUCGGCCCCUCCCUGAAGUCACUAUGAACCCUCAGAACAAACGGGGCCGCGGGAUGGAAUCUGAUGCUCCUGCUGGAACAGGUACCUCACGGGCCCAAGGAAACCAAUAGGUGGUUGGCCUCCAGUCUCCACUUUCUUUUGUUACUCUUAACUGUGAUGGUAUACCUGCUGACUCUGACUCCCUUAACCUGGAGAACCUGGUUCGCGUUAUUUCUUCACACCAUAUCAUUUUUCUACAAGAAACCAGGACUUCCCAGUAUGAUCGACUCCUACAACACCUUCCCAGGCACUUUCUUCUUGGCCAC
rnacentral:lncRNA from 1 species